CCUACGGGUGGCAGCAGUGAGGAAUAUUGGUCAAUGGCCGGAGGGCUGAACCAGCCAUGCCGCGUGAAGGUCAGUGCCCUAUGGGCGUUAAACUUCUUUUGUGCGGGAGCAAUAAUGGUCACGUGUGGCCAGACGAGAGUACCGUACGAAUAAGCAUCGGCUAACUCCGUGCCAGCAGCCGCGGUAAUACGGGGGAUGCAAGCGUUAUCCGGAUUUAUUGGGUUUAAAGGGUGCGUAGGCUGUGAGGUAAGUCAGCGGUGAAAUGCCCCCGCUCAACGGGGUGAAGUGCCAUUGAUACUGCCUGGCUGGAAGGCGGAGGCGGUGGGAGGAAUGUGUGGUGUAGCGGUGAAAUGCAUAGAUAUCACACAGAACACCGAUUGCGAAGGCAUCUCACGAAUCCGCGAUUGACGCUGAUGCACGAAAGCGUGGGUAUCAAACAGGAUUAGAUACCCGGGUAGUC
rnacentral:rRNA from 1 species